UACGGGGGGGGCAAGCGUUGUUCGGAAUUACUGGGCGUAAAGGGUUCGUAGGUGGCCUGCUAAGUCAGACGUGAAAUCCCUCAGCUUAACUGGGGAACUGCGUCUGAGACUGGCGGGCUUGAGUGCAGGAGAGGAACGCGGAAUUCCAGGUGUAGCGGUGAAAUGCGUAGAUAUCUGGAGGAACACCGGUGGCGAAGGCGGCAUCCUGGACCGGUAUUGACGCUGAGGAGCGAAAGCCAGGGGAGCAAACGGG
rnacentral:rRNA from 1 species